rnacentral:lncRNA from 1 species
GCGCGGGCAGGCUGAGCGCACAGCCUCGGUGGUGGCCUUUUAGACACGUCUGGCCUGAGCCUGAGUCGCGAGCGGUGGCCGGAACCUCGGCUGCCCGGGGGGUCAGGCGAGCCCCACAGCGGGGCCCAGGACCUGGUCUUGGGCGCUCGCUCGCUCCCGGCCCCGACAGAGACUCCCAGGCCGGCCUCACACCUCGAGUCUCAGCUCUCCCCGGGCCUACGGAAGUGCCGGGCGCCAGGAAGACCCCAGAGCGCACGCACACCCGACGCCGGUGCCGAGAGGAGAACCGAGGGACGGGCCGCGUCCCCUCGGGCGGCCUGCGUCUGGGCUACGGCGGGACGCGCCGCGGGUCCGGGAGGCCAUUUUGAGAGCGAGCGAGCGGCGGCAAGAUGGCUGCGUGGGCACGAGGACAUGCUUCAGGAUCAGAAGAAGAGAAAAGACAGCUUGGUGAUAACUAAAAAGAUGGAAGGAGGAGAAAAUGAAAGGUUGCGUGAAGACAAUGGCUGAGACAGCCCAUCGUUCCACCCUGCACAGCAGCGAGUGCCUCCUUCCCCAGCCUUGUCUCCUCUGUAGUGAGUCUACACAUUACUCUGCUAAACCUGAGAUUGUCCUGUGAAGGGAAGUGAUGGGACAGGAUGUUCAGCUUUCAUGGACUCAGACAAGAGAAGUGGUAACUUCUGCCAGGGUCACAGGACAACUACAGAGCCAAGCAGCUUCAGAAAUAGAAGAGUGAGCAGGCAAAGAAAAUGCUACACCACCCAUCCUGAGGCUGCUGCAAUCCUGCCACCAGGGACUCAGCAGGAGACCAGGGAAAGUGCUCCACAACCCUUCUAGAGGGCCUUUGUCACUGACCUGCUGGCCUAGCAUCUCCUCCAUGUCUGCCCAUGCCACACCUUUCAGGACCAUUCUGGGUCUGAUGUGCUGUGGGGAUGCUCUGUCCAGGCACUUAGGAAAUGGAAACAUCACCAUUGGCAUUUUCACCUCAAACAACUAGGCAGUACCUUGGGAAGUAGCCAGAGGAAGCGACUCCAGCCUCCCAGGAGUUAAAGGCGCUUCUCCCCAGCUGUCCUCCCCUUGGUGCUCCUUCUCCUCCCUCCUUCUGCUCACAGCAGGCAGGGCCUGGAACCAGGAGCCAUGCUGCUGUGCUGUUGCCAGGGGAGCUGGGAGGCAGAUCGGAGCUAUGCAGGGGAAAGGCUCAGCCUGUCAAAGUGUCUGAGAUGAACCACCGCCAUCCCUGUGCAGCUGGGCUCAGAUGUGUCUCGGCUCUUGUUCUGUGCCUGAGAACGGUGAAGCCCAGUGAGGUUCAAGGGCACACUCGCUAUUCAUUAGUCAGGGGUUCUUGACGUCCUGUCUCUCCCAGGCAUGGGUUCCCCCCUUCUUCUUUCCCUCCCUCCUAUGACACAUUCCUGGGUGCCUGUGGUGAGGACUGCACACCCCCUCCUGCUCAGCCCCCUCCACACAAACCCUGAAUCAACUCCUGUUAAGGAGACCAGGCGGGACAGAGACAAUGGCUUCAAGAAACCAUUCAGGCGGGACCCCAGCCACAUUCGCCGGCCCUUGACUCCCAGGGCUCCUAUAGAUCCAACUCUGCUGUGACUCAGGGCACCCUUGGGCCCCCAGCUUGCACAUGCCUGGACAGAAGCAGACCACUUGGUGCUGCCCUACACAACAGGCCAGUGCAGUGCUAUUCUCAGUGGGCACCUUGGUGCCUCUGUCCCACUGGCUGGAUCUUUUUUGUGCAGUUUGUUGGAGUAGAAACUGUACAGUAUUUUCUGAAAUGUCACCACUAUGUCAAACUGUAAAAGGCACAUAUCCUUGGUUACUAAUUUCAUGAUUAGGAAUUUGUUCCAGAUACUGGAAACAUUUACUAAGAAGCAUGGACAAAGAACUGUGUGGUUCAACGGGUUAUUUAAUACCAUGGAAUACUACACAGCUGUAAAAGUGUGGUAGAUCUGUCUGCAUGCAGGCUGAUAUCAAAGGCUGACUAAUAAAUGUAAAUGAAU